AAAGUCGUAACAAGGUUUCCGUAGGUGAACCCUUGCGGAAGGAUCGUUAAAAGAAUACCUAGGGCUCCGGGUCCUCGUCGAGAAAAGGUCGUCCCGGGGUGGCCUCAGGUCCCCGGGGGCUUCCCCCCCUCUUAACCCCGUCCUGUUUACCUCUACCUCUGUUGCUUUGGCACAGCUCCUGCCCGGGUGUUCCGGGCUUGGGCUCUGCCGGAGGGCCCCCAACUCGUGGAUAGUCUAUGUUUGUCUGAGUACGAUAUAAUCGUUUACAA
rnacentral:misc_RNA from 1 species